rnacentral:lncRNA from 10 species
UGCCCAGUGUCAAUUUUACUGGAAGAUGUUGACGCCUCUUCUCAUCUACUGAUCUGUAGACACAAGGAGCCUAAAGUUCUCUGAUGAAACUCAACCAGAAAUCUUCCUGAUUGAUGAAAAACCAGUGUUGUAUUGAUUGGCUAACCAUGGACUGAAAGAAGGGGACAACUGGAUGAGGAGCUGGUAAAGCCAGAAAAUCUCGCUGAUCUGAUAUCCUGUCCAGUCUCCUGGAAGAAAGCACCCGCUAGGACCUCUAUAUGAUUAGCAAGGAUAAAAGCGAUGAGAAGCUUUCAAGAAUGUUCUUUCAUCCUGACUAUACACACCAAGACCAGCUCCAAAACUCUCCACAGAAUA